GACCAGACUCCUACGGGAGGCAGCAGUGGGGGAUAUUGCACAAUGGGGGAAACCCUGAUGCAGCGACGCCGCGUGUGGGAAGACGGUCCUCUGGAUUGUAAACCACUGUCCCCAGGGACGAAGAUGACGGUACCUGGGGAGGAAGCUCCGGCUAACUACGUGCCAGCAGCCGCGGUAAUACGUAGGGAGCGAGCGUUGUCCGGAAUCAUUGGGCGUAAAGAGUUCGUAGGUGGCACGUUAAGUCUGGUGUUAAAGGCGGAAGCUCAACUUCCGUAGGGCACUGGAUACUGGCGAGCUUGAAUGCGGUAGAGGUAAAGGGAAUUCCUGGUGUAGCGGUGAAAUGCGUAGAUAUCAGGAGGAACAUCGGUGGCGUAAGCGCUUUACUGGGCCGUAAUUGACACUGAGGAACGAAAGCCGGGGUAGCAAAUGGGAUUAGAUACCCCAGUA
rnacentral:rRNA from 1 species